AUUUCGAAAUCCACAUUUUAAAAGGAAAACUUUUUCCAAGAAUUUAUACAAAUGUAGAACCUCUCUGGAUGGCAGCAAUAAAACAUCGAAAACCAGAAAAUUGAAGCAUAAAGGCUAAUGAAUAAUUUCGUCAAAAACUACACGUAUACCAAAUAAUUGUUAUGUAUUUUUGGAACACUAAUUUCCCUAAGCUAAGCCAAGGUGUAUUUUAACAGUUCAUAACCAAGGAAUAUCCAACAUGAUAUACCAUAAAUAAAGGACUUUAUAUUGCGAAUUCCAACCAAAAGGCUACGAAAAAUUCUAAAAUAGUGCCAGAUUUCUAAAAUGGUAUCAUUCAGUGUCAUGUGAACGGAUGGAGCUAAAAGCUUGACAUUUAAUAUGAGAAAAAAGGUUGGAAAGUAAGUUUGAUAUAUCAAGGUGGUUUUGAAAAUGUAUACUAAGUGUGCGAACUUCACCAAAUGGUACUAAAUUUGGGAAAGUUUGGCUAAAGGUGAGGGUACAUGAGCAGCUUGAAGUCUACGCAUGGCAUAUUUUGUGACAUCAUAAAGAGAUACCAGAGCCGCCCACGAAUCCUGACGUCAUUUUCCCUUACAAUUUGAACUCGUAUAUAGGGUUCAUGAUAUUAGAAAAUUAUAAUUAUAAAGAAAAAUACAAA